CUGGUUGAUCCUGCCAGUAGUCAUAUGCUUGUCUCAGAGAUUAAGCCAUGCAUGUCUAAGUACAAACCUUCAAACGGUGAAACCGCGAAUGGCUCAUUAAAUCAGCUAUGGUUCCUUGGGUCGUACAUACUACAUGGAUAACUGUAGUAAUUCUAGAGCUAAUACAUGCCACUAUGCCCUGACCCGCAAGGGAACGGGUGGAUUUUAUUAGAACAGAACCAACCGGCGGUGACUUCGGUUGCCGUCGUUGCAUUCUGUGAUGACUCUGGAUAACUUUACUGAUCGCAGUCGGCCUUGUGUCGGCGACGGAUCUUUCAAAUGUCUGCCCUAUCAAUUUUCGAUGGUAGGUGACCUGCCUACCAUGGUGAUAACGGGUAACGGGGAAUCAGGGUUCGAUUCCGGAGAGGGAGCCUGAGGAACGGCUACCACUUCCAAGGAAGACAUCAGGCGCGCAAAUUACCCUGCAAUGGUGCGUGUGGUUCACAUGUUACGGACGCAUGUGGUUGGACCAUGAGCGUCGCCC
rfam:Opisthorchis viverrini opera_v5_16.35, whole genome shotgun sequence.